rnacentral:rRNA from 1 species
CGUGUGAAUUGCAGGAUCCCGCGAACCACCGAGUCUUUGAACGCAAGUUGCGCCCGGAGCCUUCUGGCCGAGGGCACGUCUGCCUGGGCGUCA